rnacentral:lncRNA from 1 species
CUGGUGAGGGUCUUCUUUUCUUCUCACUUUCUCUCCCCUUCUUCUCUGCAGUUUCCUCAGUUUGUCCCGAACUGAUUUUGAUCCCUCCAUGCUUUUAGGUUAGCAGAAGACCAACCGAGCAGUGCCUGGAAAUGAUGUGCCAUAGGUAAGGAGGGCAGGAUGGGCAGAGACUGCAGUAGGUGAGAGCACAGAAAAGCAGGGAAGCCCGGGAAGCCCAUCACUGAAGAAAGCGAGUGAAAAGGGUUUGCUUUUUUUCCCUUUUCAUCAACACGAAUGUUGACCAGCAAGUGGAGGAAGAGCAAUACGAGGUAGGAGGAAUGGAGCUGCUGCUCCAGGGGUGCAGGUUAAUUAGAGAAUUAAAGGGCAGUGAGGUGUCGUAAGAGUGGAGCUUCAUCAAUACAUAAGUUUUAAUGCUUCUCUCUUUCUCCUACAAUGCCAGACGUUUCCCAGGGUUGCAGUCGCUUGACUGGGAAGUUUGUGUGCCGGUGGAGAUCUAGGGUAUGGCGAAGAGCAGGGACAGACAAAAUGGGGUCCCAGCACUCCUCCUCGCAUGCGUACGACAUGGCCUUCAUGACCCAGCACCUUUCCACCUAGUUGCACCCACUCACAAGUAGAGAAAACGUGAUCCCGGUGCACCACUCAUGCCUGCUGGAAGAAGCUUCCUGCAAACACCAGGAGUCUUUGUGACACUACCUAUGACGUCAGAACGUGAGGCACCCAACAUGAUAUCUUAAUUAAACUUGUAAGGUCGAUUUCUGCCAAAUUUAGGAUAUGCCAUUAGCCUCAUUUGUACCCACAAGUACCUGUUUUGCAUUAUGUAAGUAAGUUGGUGAUUUACACAUAUACAGGGCCAGUUACUUGCCUAAAUUUAAAAGCCAAAGUUGUAUAUGCCCUUACAGUACAUACCCUGUCUCGAAGAAAUUGUCCUAGCCUGUAUUUUGACAGCUUGUUCGUUAUUAAUAUAAAUAUCAUCUUUUGUAUCUGAUCAAAACAUUUUACUUCAAGACUAAUGUUUUCAUUUUGACUGUAAAAGUACAGGAUUUUUUCCUGUAUUUCAGGAGAGAGAAUGUUAUGGAAAGCAUGUCUGCUUCUUCCAGAAAGCUUAUGAAUUUUAUCAAAAAAAAAAAAAAGACAAAAGAAUAGCCACAUGCAAUGUUUGAAAUAAGUCGUUCUGGGACACAGG